rnacentral:rRNA from 1 species
CCUACGGUGGCUGCAGUGAGGAAUAUUGGUCAAUGGGCGAGAGCCUGAACCAGCCAAGUCGCGUGAAGGAUGACUGCCUUAUGGGUUGUAAACUUCUUUUAUAAAGGAAUAAAGUCGGGUAUGGAUACCCGUUUGCAUGUACUUUAUGAAUAAGGAUCGGCUAACUCCGUGCCAGCAGCCGCGGUAAUACGGAGGAUUCGAGCGUUAUCCGGAUUUAUUGGGUUUAAAGGGAGCGUAGAUGGAUGUUUAAGUCAGUUGUGAAAGUUUGCGGCUCAACCGUAAAAUUGCAGUUGAUACUGGAUAUCUUGAGUGCAGUUGAGGCAGGCGGAAUUCGUGGUGUAGCGGUGAAAUGCUUAGAUAUCACGAAGAACUCCGAUUGCGAAGGCAGCCUACUAAGCUGCAACUGACAUUGAGGCUCGAAAGUGUGGGUAUCAAACA